rnacentral:misc_RNA from 1 species
AACUUUCAACAACGGAUCUCUUGGUUCUGGCAUCGAUGAAGAACGCAGCGAAAUGCGAUAAGUAAUGCGAAUUGCAGAAUUCAGUGAGUCAUCGAAUCUUUGAACGCAUAUUGCGCCCUUUGGUAUUCCGAAGGGCAUGCCUGUUCGAGCGUCAUUAUCAGCGUGUCAAGCUUGGCUUGUUGUUGGGCUCUGUCACCGGGUGACAGGUCCAAAAGAUAGUGACCGGUGUCCUACUGACGCUAGAUGCAACGAGCUUAUCACAGCACGCAUCUGGCAGUUGUGUGGCCCGGUCUUCACCCCUUUAUUUCUCAAGGUUGACCUCGGAUCAGGUAGGAAUACCCGCUGAACUUAAGCAUAUCAAUAAGCGGAGGAAAAGAAACCAACAGGGAUUACCCUAGUAACGGCGAGUGAAGCGGUAACAGCUCAAAUUUAAAAUCUGGCCUUCACGGGUCCGAGUUGUAAUUUGUAGAGGAUGUUUCGGACAAGGCUGUGGUUUAAGUUUCUUGGAACAGAACGUCAUAGAGGGUGAGAAUCCCGUCUAGAACCGAUGGCCGCGUCCAUGUGAAACACCUUCGACGAGUCGAGUUGUUUGGGAAUGCAGCUCAAAAUGGGUGGUAAAUUUCAUCUAAAGCUAAAUAUUGGCCAGAGACCGAUAGCGCACAAGUAGAGUGAUCGAAAGAUGAAAAGUACUUUGAAAAGAGAGUUAAACAGUAUGUGAAAUUGUUGAAAGGGAAGCGCUUGCAACCAGACUUGUGUGUGGCAGCUCCCCCUGUCUUCUGACUGGGUUAUUCUGCCAUAACCAGGCCAGCAUCGAUUUAGGUGGUCAGUUAAAGGCUCUGGGAAGGUAUCUACCUUCGGGUCGACUUAUAGCCCAGGGUGUAAUGUGGCCUACUUGGAUCGAGGAACGCGCUUUUUGCCCGGAUGUUGGCGUAAUGGUUGCAAGCGGCCCGUCUUGAAACACGGACCAAGGAGUCUAACAUCUAUGCGAGUGUUAGGGUGUCAAACCCUGCCGCGUAAUGAAAGUGAACGGAGGUAAGAACCCCGUCGAGGGGUGCAUUAUCGACCGAUCCUGAUGUCUUCGGAUGGAUUUGAGUAAGAGCAUAGCUGUUGGGACCCGAAAGAUGGUGAACUAUGCCUGAAUAGGGUGAAGCCAGAGGAAACUCUGGUGGAGGCUCGCAGCGGUUCUGACGUGCAAAUCGAUCGUCAAAUUUGGGUAUAGGGGCGAAAGACUAAUCGAACCAUCUGGUAGCUGGUUCCUGU